rnacentral:lncRNA from 1 species
AACCAAACCCCCACUCACCUACUGUUCACCAUCGUCUCAGAGACGAACCCUACAAACCCUAGCCUCCUUAGGACUCCCCCACCGUAAACCCAGCAACCACGACGCCGAUGACCACCAGACUAACACCCCUGAAUCACCAUGACGCCCUCUCUCCAAAUCCACACUUGGCUAACUUCGAAUCUUCCCUGAACGUCUCGAAUCUUCGUUUGAAGGUUCGAGCAAAAACCAGAUAUACACCUACCGACCCCAAAUUCAUACCACAACACCUCCUGACUUCCCUUACACCCUAAAUGCCAUUGGUUCCGUUAGAAUCUGACCGGAGCUGGACGAAUCCCAAAUCAAACCACGAAGAACCCUAAAAGACCAAAAGUUGAGAUCUGUCCAAAUUAAAAGACGAUGUGGGGUCUAAUCAACUUUAGUCGAAGUGUUCUCAGUUGAGAACACUCGAUUAAAGUCCAUUCGACCUACAAAAUGGUCGAGUCUGAGUUCGAGCCUGAGUCAGUUUUGAUUUCGAAUCCCUGAGGUAACUUUUCCCUUUCUUUUGUUCUCCUAUGAUUUUUAUCUGUUUUCAUGUUUAGUUUGGUUUAUUUUUUAUUUUUCUGUCAAGUCUGUGGAUCUCCAAACCCUUUUUUUUGGUCGAAAUCUGCUUCUGUUCAUUUGAAUGUUCUUUAAACUAUACAAUCAAUAUGAACAAGUUCGUCGAUUUGUUAGUUUCGUAUAAAGUCCCGAUUAUGUCCAAAACCACUGGAAUCACCCGAUAGUUUGUGUGUUUUAUNGAUUGUUUGUUGUCUGUUAUAGCUUGUAUAGUCGGUUAAAUAAGUGUCGUCAACUGAACUCGCUUAAAAAAACUAGAAAGGAGCAUGAGUUGCUCAUUUCAGUGUGAUUGCUAGCCUUUUCCUCUUAUCGAUGUAUGACUUGUAUCAACAUGCCUAUUCAUUACUGCAUUGAUCUUAGCCUAUAAUGGCUGUUGCAUGUUUGCAUUUGGCUUUGAGUUGGUCAGUUUUGGCUCCCAAUAUGACCAACUCAUUUUGUCUGAUUGACAUCCAUGUGUGAUCUCAUUUUGAGUUGGACUUAGGUUGAGAAUUGGAUAUAGCUGUAGAAACCUAACAGGUCAACCUGAAAUCAGUGUUGAGUUUAAGCUUAUACAAUUAGUAAUUAGUGAUUAGCUAAAUUUAUAGGGGUUUUAUAUACUGACCAUUAAAGGUUAGGGUAAUACAGUAAUAUGCAAGGGUUAAGGGUAAUUUUGGCAUUUGACAGAGUUUAAUUAGGGAUUAAUUUAAGAACAUGUCAAGUGGUAUUUAAAAUACUAUUAAUCUAAUGACAAUGGGGAACAAGACAUAGGAACAUGGGAGUUUAAAAUGAAUACUUUAGUAAACCCAUAACUCUUGAUUAGAGCAAUAGGACAAGGAUGGGGAGCAAAAUAGUUUACUUUAAGAAAAGACACUUAGGCAUGGGAAAUUGAGGGGAGGGGCAGAUAUAGGGUCUGUUUGGGGGUUCGAGGCAGACCUUAGAGGUCUCUUGUGGGUUAUAAAUAGGCUCAUUUAGACAAAAAGGGGGGCUGGAGAUUAAGAUUUCAGAGUUGGAAAAAAAGCAAAAAAAAAUAGUGCUGGCUCUUAAUCUUGAUAAGUCAGAGUAUAUCGAGUGUGAGACAGGUUUUUUUAUCUGAAAGUUCAUUACUAAGAGAGAAAAAACUGGCUGGUUUUGAUCCUCAAAGCCAGAGAAAAACAAGGGUGUUUAAGGCUAAGCUUUACAUCAAAGAGCUUCAGCUUGUCUUUUCUUUGAGUGUUUGACAAAUCAGAAACUACUGUUUCUUGCAUCUAUCUGUGUCUUGGUACUGUGGGAUUUCAGCUUGGUAUUUCCUAGUUUUCUGUUGGUUGAGCAUUGUUCCAUUGGGUCACUACUUGGUUUACUGCUUGGUUUUGAAAAUCUGUCACUAAUUUUUGUUGCUGCUGGUUGCUGGUUUUCUGUUAUUGCUGUUUGCUGUGAAUGCUACUGCUGCACUGAUCAUUCCUUUUCUUCUUUUGGCUUUCCCAAUACCAGGUACACCACUGAUACACUGUCAAUGUAAGCUGAAAGUUGAAACAUGAAUAGAGAAAUGAAGAGCUGAAGUUGCCUCUUUCGAAUUUGCUUCAGUUGUAUAUUGAACAUUAAGUUGUAUAUAUAAUAGUUCAUAUCUUCUAUUAGGAUAAUGAAGGUAGUCAUCAUGUAUAACUAGACAACCACGUAUGGCAACUUAAUGGCUCAUUAUCUAUGUAUGUCGG